CGUUUAACUGUUUUAGGGGCACGAGUAGUUGAGUCCAUAGAAUCAUAUCUAUAUGCGCUGAGUGAGAGCUGCAAGUCCCACUAGGACGGGACAUGAGAAAUAGUUCAGGCGUCGCUGCGCCUCUAAACCAUGUGAAAUCAGCGCGGCGCCCUUUUCUGGUUUUAUAUAAAGUUGAUGAUCAGGAAAUAUAGUAGCGCCACCUUGCGGUAAAUCGUUUAACUAUAGAGGAGAAUUUAGCCUAGUUUUUAUAAAAUUUAUAAAGAGGUAUUUAGAGCACUUACGAAAAGCGUAAUGGAGGCUUUUAGACUGCCCGAUCGAGACUAAAAGUUUUAGAUUUGAUUGGAAAUGAUAUAUAUUUUAUAUGUCAUAUAAUUUACCUGUUGCUUUUCAGCUUUUACAGCCAAGCCGUCGUACUGCAGCACGAAAUCUUUGCCAAAGUCCAGAUUCAUUCCCGUCAUAGCCCUAAGGCGAUUAUGGAGUGCAUGAUUCAGCUCUAAGUUUAUUGUUUUGCUAGCAUAUUGCUCAGUUCGAUCAUAUUUUAUGCUGUCUUGCCUUAUGUUCAGCAGUUCUUCAAUUUCUUUGUCGUAUAUGACAUUAUGAUAAAGGGCCACAUAGGGUUUCAUGCUAAGUAACUCCACUCUGAAGCGUGCCAGCAUAAGAAAGGGUUCAGUGGAAUUACUGUAGUAGCAGAACAAUUUUCUCACAGCUGGAAACUGACCUCGACAGCCGCGCUGUGCUGUCGUCACAUAUUCGAGCUUGUGCUGCCAUAAUAAAGUCAAUUGCUGACCAAACUUCUGCAGAGCUCGUCGCUGCAGCCACAGUGAAAUGUGUGAAUCGGCGACGUAGUUAAGCACAUCCAAAGCCUCCUCGAUAUUGCCUAUAAGAUAUUUAUCAUAAAAUAAUUCUAUAUGCCCCACUUUUCCACUCACCACUGUUAGAUAACAUGGUGACAUACAUUCUAUAUAAAUCA